rnacentral:lncRNA from 1 species
UCUUUCUAUUGUAUUUUGCAGAUUGGAAUGGAGCACAUGGAGGAAAAAAGGGAAUCACACACCUCAAUGACUGGGAAUUGCUGGUUAGGAAUUUAUUUUAAAAAAUCUUCAAAGAUGAAGCGAUGGUGGUUGGUAUAGAUAGUUAGACAGGCCUUGUCUGUGUCAGGUUUUUCUUUUUCAGGUAAUGGAGAGAGAGCAGGCAGAAGCGGGAGACUCACAAGAGCAACGAUGGACAUUUAUAUGAAACAGAGCCAUUAGGGCUCUGUUGGUUCUGUCUUUGUCUUUUGCAGGCUGGAGUGGAGCAGAAUAAGGAGACUCACAAGGGAAACGGUGGAGAUAUACUUGAAGACCUAGAGCUCAGUAAACAGAUUGGCAUGGAGCAUGUGGAGAAACGGGGAACACACCUCAGUAAUGACAAGUACUGUACAUCAUAAUUAAAAAUGAUAUACUUAAAUAUUUACAAUAUUAGUGAUGGUUUGGUAUUUCCUUCAGAUCUUGUAUUGAACAAGCCAGUAGAGCUCUAUUGAUGUUGUCUGUCUUUUACAGAGUGGAGUGGAGAAACUAGGGAAUCACACACCUCAGAAAUGAUCAGAAACUGAUGGUCAGGUGUCACCUAUCGAUUAAAGAUGUCCUUCCAAUAGGAAGGGGGUGGAGGUGGGCUUGGGUAGUUAGAUAAAUGUUUUGUCUGUGGAAUCACACCUCAGCAAUGACUGGAAAUUGAUGGUCAGGAAUUUAUUUUAAAAAAUCUUCAAAGAUGAAGCGGUGGUGGUUGGUAUAGAUAGUUAGACAGGCCUUGUCUGUGUCAGGUUUUUCUUUUUCAGGUAAUGGAGAGAGAGCAGGCAGAAGCGGGAGACUCACAAGAGCAUCGAUGGACAUUUAUCUGAAACAGAGCCAUUAGGGCUCUGUUGGUUCUGUCUUUGACUUUUGCAGGUUGGAGUGGAGUAGAAUAAGGAGACUCACAAGGGAAACGGUGGAGAUAU